CUACGGGCGGCAGCAGUGGGGAAUAUUGGACAAUGGGGGCAACCCUGAUCCAGCCAUGCCGCGUGUGUGAAGAAGGCCUUAGGGUUGUAAAGCACUUUCAGAUGUGAGGAAAGGUGUGUGCUUAAUACGUACAUACUGUGACGUUAGCAUCAGAAGAAGGACCGGCUAACUCCGUGCCAGCAGCCGCGGUAAUACGGAGGGUCCGAGCGUUAAUCGGAAUUACUGGGCGUAAAGCGCGCGUAGGUGGUUUCGUCAGUCAGAUGUGAAAGCCCCGGGCUCAACCUGGGAAUUGCACCUGAUACUGCGGAACUAGAGUACGAUAGAGGGGAGUGGAAUUUCCGGUGUAGCGGUGAGAUGCGUAGAGAUCGGAAGGAACACCAGUGGCGAAGGCGACUCCCUGGAUUGAUACUGACACUGAGGUGCGAAAGCGUGGGGAGCAAACAGGAUUAGAUACCCUUGUAGUC
rnacentral:rRNA from 1 species